UUAAGAAAAAGAUAUUUUGGAUAAGUUGAAUUAAGAUAUAAUCAAUAGAAGAAUCAAGGCAUAAAGGAAAUUCUAAUUAAUUAAUAAACUUACCUUAACCAGUUUGUUUCGGCCAUUAGGAGAUUAUUAGUUAUCCAUUUAAGUUGUUUAACAAAUGUAAUAAGGAAACUAAAUUUAUCCUAGUGUUUACGUGUGCAAAGGAUAAAGUCUCUUUAUUAUAAUAAAUUAUUGGUUACUUGUAAUACUAAUCUACUUUAAUUAAGAUAGAAAUUAUUAUUCUUAAUCAUAUAGGAUUUGGAUUCUGAUAAAGUCUUCUAAUAAUUAUUGUAUUAGAAUAGUUAGGACUUUAAUUAAUUAAACUAGUUAAGUUGUAUAGAAAUUUCAUUUGACACACUCUUCCAUUUAUUUUGAUCGAAACAGGAGAUUAACUAGUUAUUUAUUUUAUUAAAAUGUGCAAAUAGGAGGCCAAUUUGGUUUCCCAGCCCACGUGUGAAUUCAAGCAGCAAACAAUCAAAUUCACGCCUCUUUGUCCUUUUCCUUAUUAUAAUUGUAGCUGAUUUUGAACUUAUCAAAACCAAUAAACAAUCAGAUUCAUCAAAAUAGAAGAUCAGUCCACGUGUGUAAAGGUCAUGCAACCUCUUUAUCUUUAUCCUUUCCUUAUCUGAUAUAAAACUCGGCAGAAUCCCAUAAGAAAUCACCAAUCAGAAUUUCAAACUAAUUUAUGGGAUCAGAAUUCUAAACUAACUUAUGUGAUGUGCACAGAAAUUUAGAGUUCAAAUCUUAGCAAAAUUCCACUUCCCACGUGAUUACCCUACACCAUGGUUUAGUAUAAAUAUAGCACUAAACCUCAAGCAUUCGGUCAUUAAUUCAUCAUUCUUCUUCUGCACGUCUUUAUUCUCUUCUCCUCUUUAAAAUAUUUCUCCAUAUUAUUAAGCCUUUUUAAGGCCUUGGAAUCGCAAUAAAGAAUCACGUUUUCAGCAAUUUUAUUUUCCACGUUCAUCUUCAAAAGGUAAUAAUUAGUAUGCUGGACGGCGGUGUAUGGAUGCAUAUUGGACCAAUGGAUCUACAUCAUGAAAUCAGUACGGUCAACGUGGAUGGUGGCUGAGCGGUGCGCAGGUUGCCAAGUAAAGAAAAACUUCGCAAGAAAAUGUUUUAAAAUAAUUCUGUUAGGAUUAUGUGCUUCAAUUUAAUUAUGUUUAAUGUUCUAUGUUUACGCGACAUUUUGUUUAUUCAAUUUGGUAUUUGAGUAUUAAAUAAAUCAAGAGUUUUAAAUUUCGAAUUAAAUAUUUUCGCUUUAUGUAUGCGAUACGAAAUGAUAUCGGUAACACCUCAAAUUUUAGGUCGAUAAAAUUUGGGGCGUUACAACAAUGCUUACAAGUUGGACCUUCCAGGUGAGUACAAUGUUUCGACUACUUUUAAUG